rnacentral:rRNA from 1 species
GACGGGAGGAUGCAAGUGUUAUCCGGAAUCACUGGGCGUAAAGCGUCUGUAGGUGGCUCGACAAGUCAACUGUUAAAUCUUGAAGCUCAACUUCAAAAUCGCAGUCGAAACUAUCGGACUAGAGUAGUAGUAGAGGUAAAGGGAAUUUCCAGUGGAGCGGUGAAAUGCGUAGAGAUUGGAAAGAACACCGAUGGCGAAGGCACUUUACUGGGCUAUUACUGACACUCAGAGACGAAAGCUA